GGGAACCGCCUGAACUGAAACAUCUAAGUAGGGCGAGGAAGAGACAUCAAACGAGAUUCCGUUAGUAGUGGCGAGCGAACGCGGAAGAGGGCAAACCGGAAGGAGAAAUCCUUCCGGGGUAUGGACCGCUUUUAGGACUUUAGCUGUUAAUCGAAUGGCAUGGGAAGGCCAACCAAAGAGUGUGAGAGUCACGUAGAUGAAAACGGCGAGAGCUGCGCGAGUUCCAGAGUACGGCCAGACACGUGAAACCUGGUCGGAAGAUGGGGGGACCACCCUCCAACCCUAAAUACUACCCAGUGACCGAUAGCGUAUAGUACUGUGAAGGAAAGGUGAAAAGGACCCCGGGAGGGGAGUGAAAGAGAACCUGAAACCUUGUGCCUACAAGCACAUAGAGCACAUCAACGUGUGAUAUGGUACUUUUUGUAGAACGGUCCGGCGAGCGAUUGUAUGUUGCGAGCUUAAGGUCUUAAGGACUGGAGGCGUAGCGAGAGCGAGUCUAAACAGGGCGUUUAGUAGCGUGCAAUGGGCCCGAAACCGGGUGACCUACCCAUGAUCAGGCUGAAGUGAAAGUAAAAUUUCAUGGAGGGCCGAACCGACCUCCGUUGAAAAGGCGGCGGAUGAAUUGUGGGUAGCGGAGAAAUUCCAAUCGAACUCGGAGAUAGCUGGUUCUCCCCGAAAUAGCUUUAGGGCUAGCCUCAUAUUAGAUACCCGGAGGUAAAGCACUGAAUGGCCUAGCGCCCGAGAGGGUAGCGAAGCCUAUCAAACUAAGAAUGCCGGAGUAUUGAUGUAUGGGAGUCAGACAGUGUGAGAUAAAUCUCAUUGUCAAAAGGGAAACAGCCCAGAUCUACAGCUAAGGUCCCAAAUUGUAUCUAAGUGGAAAACGAUGUGGAAAUACGCAGACAACCAGGAUGUUGGCUCAGAAGCAGCCACUCAUUUAAAGAGUGCGUAAUAGCUCACUGGUCGAGCGUCUCUGCGCGGAAAAUUUAACGGGGCUAAGAUACAAACCGAAGCUUAGGCUGCACUUUUAGUGCGGGGUAGGGGAGCGUUGUGUAAGCGGAGAAACAGUAGCGUAAGCGGCUGUGGAGUUUACAGAAGUGAGAAUGCCGGAAUGAGUAGCGCGAAUGUGGUGAGAAUCCACAUGGCCGGAAACCUCAGGUUUUUGGAGGAAGGUUCGUCCGCUCCAAGUUAGGCGGGAGCUAAGGUCAGGCCGAAAGGCGUAGCCGAUGCACAGACGGUAGAGAUUCCGUCCCCACCGAAAGAUUUAAGCACAGGGACACUUUUUGAAGGUCGGAGCCAGGUGUUGGUUCUGGUAGUGAUCGAGGGAAAUAUAGUACCGAAGUCCGGCUGGAUAAGAGGCGAGAAAAGCUGUGUGUAUAUCUAAGGUGCCCGUACCGCAAACCGACACAGGUAGGUAGGAAGAAGAUUCUAAGGCCAACGGGAGAAGGGUUGUUAAGGAACUCGGCAAGUUGACCCCGUAACUUCGGAAUAAGGGGUGCUCACGAGAGUGAGCCGCAGAGAAUAGGCCCAGGCAACUGUUUACCAAAAACACAGGUUUGUGCUAAAUCGAAAGAUGACGUAUACGAGCUGACGCCUGCCCGGUGCUGGAAGGUUAAAAGGAGAUGUGCAAGCAUUGAAUUGAAGCCCCAGUGAACGGCGGCCGUAACUAUAACGGUCCUAAGGUAGCGAAAUUCCUUGUCAGGUAAG
rnacentral:rRNA from 1 species